rnacentral:rRNA from 1 species
AAACCAGCACCUCAAGUGGUCAGGAUGAUUAUUGGGCCUAAAGCAUCCGUAGCCGGCUCUGUAAGUUUUCGGUUAAAUCUGUACGCUUUACGUACAGGCUGCCGGGAAUACUGCAGUGCUAGGGAGUGGGAGAGGUAGACGGUACUCGGGAGGAAGUGGUAAAAUGCUUUGAUCUCCCGAUGACCACCUGUGGCGAAGGCGGUCUACCAGAACACGUCCGACGGUGAGGGAUGAAAGCUGGGGGAGCAAACCGGAUUAGAAACCCUAGUAGUCC